GCUAAGAAUCUUCCGCAAUGGGGGGAACCCUGACGGAGCGACGCCGCGUGGACGAUGAAGGCCGUAAGGUUGUAAAGUCCUUUUGCGGGCGAAGAAUAAGGAAGGGAGUGGAAAGCCCUUCUGAUGACGUUAGCCCGCGAAUAAGCCCCGGCCAAUUACGUGCCAGCAGCCGCGGUAAUACGUAUGGGGCGAGCGUUGUUCGGAGUUAUUGGGCGUAAAGGGCGUGUAGGCGGCCCGACAAGUCUGGUGUGAAAUCGCAGGGCUCAACCCUGCGGGUGCGCUGGAAACUGACGGGCUAGAGUUCCGGGGGGGAAGCUGGAAUUCCUGGUGUAGGAGUGAAAUCUGUAGAGAUCAGGAAGAACACCGGUGGCGAAGGCGAGCUUCUAUUCGAGGACUGACGCUGAGGCGCGAAAGCGUGGGGAGCAAACAGGAUUAGAUACCCCAGUAGUCC
rnacentral:rRNA from 1 species